AAGUCGUAACAAGGUUUCCGUAGGUGAACCUGCGGAAGGAUCAUUAUUGAAAUAAACCUGAUGGGGUUGUUGCUGGUUCUCCAGGGAGCAUGUGCACGCCUUGUCAUCUUUAUAUCUCCACCUGUGCACCUUUUGUAGACCUUUCCAGGUCUAUGUUGCUUCAUUUGCCCCACCAAUGUAUGUCAAUAGAAUGUUUGUGAAUGCGAAAUAUAUACAACUUUCAGCAACGGAUCUCUUGGCUCUC
rnacentral:misc_RNA from 1 species